rnacentral:rRNA from 1 species
UACGUAGGGGGCAAGCGUUGUCCGGAUUUAUUGGGCGUAAAGAGCGUGUAGGCGGUCAGGUAGGUCCGUUGUGAAAACUCGAGGCUCAACCUCGAGACGCCGAUGGAAACCAUCUGACUAGAGUCCGGAAGAGGAGAGUGGAAUUCCUGGUGUAGCGGUGAAAUGCGCAGAUAUCAGGAAGAACACCCGUGGCUAAGGCGGCUCUCUAGUACGGUGCUGACGCUGAGACGCGAAAGCGUGGGGAGCGAACAGG